AUUGAACGCUGGCGGCAUGCCUUACACAUGCAAGUCGAACGGCAGCGGGCCUUCGGGUGCCGGCGAGUGGCGAACGGGUGAGUAAUGCAUCGGAACGUGCCAUUGAGUGGGGGAUAACGUAGCGAAAGUUGCGCUAAUACCGCAUAUUCUGUGAGCAGGAAAGCAGGGGACCGCAAGGCCUUGCGCUCUUUGAGCGGCCGAUGUCAGAUUAGCUAGUUGGUGAGGUAAAGGCUUACCAAGGCGACGAUCUGUAGCGGGUCUGAGAGGAUGAUCCGCCACACUGGAACUGAGACACGGUCCAGACUCCUACGGGAGGCAGCAGUGGGGAAUUUUGGACAAUGGGGGCAACCCUGAUCCAGCCAUGCCGCGUGAGUGAAGAAGGCCU
rnacentral:rRNA from 1 species